rnacentral:rRNA from 1 species
GAUGAACGCUGGCGGCGUGCCUAAUACAUGCAAGUCGAGCGAACGAACGAGAAGCUUGCUUCUCUGAUGUUAGCGGCGGACGGGUGAGUAACACGUGGAUCACCUACCUAUAAGACUGGGGUAACUUCGAGACACCGGCGCUAACCUCGGCUGAUAUUUUGAACCGCAUUGUUCUACACUGACAGUCGGUCUUGCUGUCACUUCUAGAUUGAUCCGCGCUGCAUUCGCUGGUUGGUCAGGUAACGGCUUACCAAGGCAACGAUGUAUAGCCGACCUGAGAGGGUGACCGGGCACACAAGAACAGAGACACGGUAAAGAAAACUAAGGGAGGCAGCAGCAGGGAAUCUUCCGCAAUAGGCGAAAGCCUGACGGUGCAACGCCGCGUGGGGGAUGAAGGUCUCCGGAUCGUAAAACCCUGUUAUUAGGGAAGAAUAAAUGUGUAAGUAACUGUGCAGAUCUUGACGGGACCGAAUCAGAAAGCACCGGCUAACUACUUG